rnacentral:rRNA from 1 species
AGCGAACGCUGGCGGCAGGCCUAACACAUGCAAGUCGAACGAACCUUUCGGGGUUAGUGGCGGACGGGUGAGUAACACGUGGGAACGUGCCUUUAGGUUCGGAAUAACUCAGGGAAACUUGUGCUAAUACCGAAUGUGCCCUUCGGGGGAAAGAUUUAUCGCCUUUAGAGCGGCCCGCGUCUGAUUAGCUAGUUGGUUGAGGUAAUGGCUCACCAAGGCGACGAUCAGUAGCUGGUCUGAGAGGAUGAUCAGCCACAUUGGGAAUGAGACACGGCCCAAACUCCUACGGGAGGCAGCAGUGGGGAAUCUUGCGCAAUGGGCGAAAGCCUGACGCAGCCAUGCCGCGUGAAUGAUGAAGGUCUUAGGAUUGUAAAAUUCUUUCACCGGGGACGAUAAUGACGGUACCCGGAGAAGAAGCCCCGGCUAACUUCGUG